CUACGGGUUGCUCCAGUGGGGAAUAUUGGACAAUGGGCGAAAGCCUGAUCCAGCCAUGCCGCGUGUGUGAUGAAGGCCUUAGGGUCGUAAAGCACUGUGGAGAAGGACGAAAAGCUGUAGGAAUAAUACCCUAUAGUCUUGACGGUACUUCUUUAGCAAGCACCGGCUAACUCGCGUGCCAGCAGCCGCGGUAAUACGGAGGGUGCAAACGUUGCUCGGAAUUAUUGGGCGUAAAGCGCGCGUAGGCGGCUUAUUAAGUCGAGUGUGAAAGCCCUGGGCUCAACCCAGGAAGUGCGCCUCGAUACUGGUAAGCUUGAGUACGGGAGAGGGUAGCGGAAUUCCCGGUGUAGAGGUGAAAUUCGUAGAUAUCGGGAGGAACGCCAGUGGCGAAGGCGGCUACCUGGACCGAUACUGACGCUGAGGUGCGAAAGCGUGGGUAGCAAACAGGAUUAGAUACCCGUGUAGUC
rnacentral:rRNA from 1 species